GGGGCGGGAAGACCCCAGAGACCUCCAGGCCGGUCAGCGAGGGGGUCUUUAAGGGAGACCCGGUUGGACAUUCGGGCCCACCGGACCCUGUGCCCCUUCCUCGCCCACCUUGUCUCCCCUGCGUUGCAAGACAGAGAAGUGAGGAUAGAGACGUGGAGAGACGGGGAGAAAGACGUACAGAGAGACACAGAGACAGAGACGUGGAGAGAGAUAAAGCAAGACGCUGAUCGAGAGACACCGGGUGUGAGAAAAGGACCAGCUCAGCAGCCCCUGGAGCCCCAGCCCCGCCUUCAUGCCCAACCGGUGUCCCACCUGGCCCGUCCUCCCAGGUGAGCCUCAGCCUGUGCUGAAGGCAGUUUGACUCCUGGCCUCCCAGUGACUCGUGAGGAACAUCUGCGGAGGGAGGAUGGCCCAAGUCCUGCACGUGCCAGCCCCCUUUCCAGGUCAGA